AUUGAACGCUGGCGGAAUGCCUUACACAUGCAAGUCGAACGGCAGCACGGGGGCAACCCUGGCGGCGAGUGGUGAACGGGUGAGUAAUACAUCGGAACGUGCCCGGUCGCGGGGGAUAACGUAGUGAAAGCUACGCAAAUACCGCAUACGAUCUGAGGAUGAAAGCGGGGGACCUUGGGGUCUAGCGCCUUGGGAGCAGGCGAUGUCAGAUUAGGUAGUUGGUGGGAUAAAGGCCUACAAAGCCGACGAUCUGUAGCUGGUCUGAGAGGACGACCAGCCACACUGUGACUGAGACACGGCCCAGACUCCUACGGGAGGCAGCAGUGGGGAAUUUUGGACAAUGGGCGCAAGCCUGAUCCAGCCAUACCGCGUGCAGGACGAAGGCCUUCGGGUUGUAAACUGCUUUUGUCUGGAACGAAAAGGCGCUGGCUAAUACCUGGGGCUCAUGACGGUACCGGAAGAAUAAGCACCGGCUAACUACGUG
rnacentral:rRNA from 1 species